rnacentral:rRNA from 1 species
GAUGAACGCUAGCGAUAGGCUUAACACAUGCAAGUCGAGGGGCAGCAUGAUCUUAGCUUGCUAAGGUUGAUGGCGACCGGCGCACGGGUGCGUAACGCGUAUGCAACUUGCCUUACAGAGGGGGAUAACCCGUUGAAAGACGGACUAAAACCGCAUACACUUGUAUUAUUGCAUGAUAUUACAAGGAAAUAUUUAUAGCUGUAAGAUAGGCAUGCGUCCCAUUAGCUGGUUGGUGAGGUAACGGCUCACCAAGGCGACGAUGGGUAGGGGAACUGAGAGGUUUAUCCCCCACACUGGUACUGAGACACGGACCAGACUCCUACGGGAGGCAGCAGUGAGGAAUAUUGGUCAAUGGGCGAGAGCCUGAACCAGCCAAGUCGCGUGAAGGAAGACAGUCCUAAGGAUUGUAAACUUCUUUUAUACGGGAAUAACGGGCGAUACGAGUAUUGCAUUGAAUGUACCGUAAGAAUAAGCAUCGGCUAACUCCGUGCCAGCAGCCGCGGUAAUACGGAGGAUGCGAGCGUUAUCCGGAUUUAUUGGGUUUAAAGGGUGCGUAGGUUGUUCGGUAAGUCAGCGGUGAAACCUGAACGCUCAACGUUCAGCCUGCCGUUGAAACUGCCGGGCUUGAGUUCAGUGGCGGCAGGCGGAAUUCGUGGUGUAGCGGUGAAAUGCAUAGAUAUCACGAGGAACUCCGAUUGCGAAGGCAGCUUGCCAUACUGCGACUGACACUGAAGCACGAAGGCGUGGGUAUCAAACAGG